rnacentral:rRNA from 1 species
AACGAACGCUGGCGGCAUGCCUAACACAUGCAAGUCGAACGAUGCCUUCGGGCAUAGUGGCGCACGGGUGCGUAACGCGUGGGAAUCUGCCUUUCGGUUCGGAAUAACUCAGGGAAACUUGAGCUAAUACCGGAUAACGUCGCAAGACCAAAGAUUUAUCACCGAAAGAUGAGCCCGCGUAGGAUUAGCUAGUUGGUGAGGUAAAGGCUCACCAAGGCGACGAUCCUUAGCUGGUCUGAGAGGAUGAUCAGCCACACUGGGACUGAGACACGGCCCAGACUCCUAUGGGAGGCAGCAGUGGGGAAUAUUGGACAAUGGGCGAAAGCCUGAUCCAGCAAUGCCGCGUGAGUGAUGAAGGCCUUAGGGUUGUAAAGCUCUUUUACCCGGGAAGAUAAUGACGGUACCGGGAGAAUAAGCCCCGGCUAACUCCGUG